CCCCGCUGUGCCCUUUCUUUAUGGUUCUUCAAUUUGUCCCUUCAUAGACCCAGAAUUCAAUUGCCAAAAAUACGGAAGACCCGAUAAGAUCUACCUCAAACACAAGUGGAAGCCACUGGGUUGUGACCUCCCAAGGUUUAAUGGGAUGCAAUUCCUGAUGGAAUGGAAAGGGAAGAAGAUUAUGUUUGUGGGUGACUCACUGAGCCUAAACCAGUGGGAAUCACUAAACUGCUUGAUUCAUGCUUCAAUGCCCAACGCCAGGACCACUGUUGUGAGGAGUGGAACUUUUUCUCCAGUAACAUUUGUGUUUUCUUCUCUUCUCUUCUCUUCUCUUCUCUUCAUUCCCAACAGAGCAAUUCUGCUCCUUUUGAGUAAUAACUAAUGAAAAUUUGAAGGAUAUGGGAA